GACAUGGCUAAUGACGUCAGACUUAAAGACCGGAUAGCGAUUUCCCUUACUUAGGAGUUGGCAACACUGCUUUACAGUAUGGUGCUGUAACCCAGUGUUAACUUACUUGUCUGAUUUCUGAUGUACACUGUACAGUUACAUUCAGUUCUAUACAUUUUGCUCUACAGUUGCGUUUAAGUAAUAUGAUGUUUCUUAAUUUAUGACUGUAUCACAACAGUCAACUUGGUAGCCAAAUCUGGUGGGAGGGGCUAUGAGCACAUGACCUGUAUCUUUGGCAGAGCAAUGUUGUGUGAGCCUGCUGACAUUUAUACACGUAAUAUCCUUAAAGUCACUGUUAUCCAUCCUCCUGCUGGUGAGGAGACGUUUCUUUCGGGCCUUCAACAUGGACCGUGUCCUGUCGUCCUGUCAGUGCCACUGAAAGCGAGCAUCAGCUGGCUGCUACAAUCUCUGCUGGUUCUAUUCAUAAGUAAAGUGGGCAGAAAUUCAGACUUCACCAUAUGCGCUCAGCCUAUUCCCAGCAAGAUCCUUCCAAAGGUUGGUGCACAUUGCCAAAAUAGUGAUUGAUAAGCUCAGCAUUUACAAAACAGUCAUCAUUCGCUUUUUGGAAGCUGAAGGCAAUGUUGAAGGACUAACAUAGAAGGUGAAGGAUCACUUGGGCUGUGACGAGGCGAUUACCCUGGAGACAGCCAAGGAAAUGAAAUACUAUCUCAAUUUCCCCUUGGUGAUAAGUAAAGUCUCUCUGACUCUCAUACUGGACUUCACAAGAAGUUCCCAUUAGUGGAAACAGAAGUCCAGAAAAAUCUUUCCUGUCUCUCAGGAUGACUUUGCGGAGUUCCAGGAGAAAUGCUAAAGCAAGCUCUAAUGGAGAAGCCUAGUUUGCAACAUGUUGCAAAUCUCUAGUCGGAUGCUGAUGUUGGAUGUGUGGAGCAGUGUGGCUGUUAACUGCAGAUCACGGCCUGAAAUGCAGAGAAGAAUUCGGUUCUUUUCUGACUCUCUUUAAAGAGAUAUAAAUGUGUAACUCAUGUAACAUUGUUUGAAUAGGAAUGGGCAAAUGUGUUACUAGAAAGCUACAGAGGCUGCAAAGGUUGCAUUUCAUAUCACCACCAUAGAUGGAGUUAUCCUACAGAGGAAGAGGAACUUUAGAGGACCUACAACUUCUGCACCUUUUAAGAAUGCAUUUGCCCGCUCUUCCGUUUGCCAAAAAAAACCUCAAAAGUAAAUUUCUGCAGAAAACAGAUAUCCAAUAGCUAUCCAGUUAUUUGAGAAUCUAAGAUUUCCAAGUAAUUAAAAACAAACCAAUUAGGUGUUUAUAGACGGGCAACCUAAAUUUAAAUUGCUUAGUUAACAAACCAGGUUAGCAACAUAGCCAGUAAAAUUAAAAGAAUCACAUCUGGGAUUUUGUGUGCAUUCACAUCUGCUCGGAUGAGUCAUUUGUUUUGGUCAUUUUUCCCAAAAGAAAAACAAAAGUCUUUCAUGUAUGUGUCCUGGAAACGAUGUUGGGCGCUGGAACCAGCAGGAGGCAGACACCUGACUUUGGGGUGUCAUCCCAGGGUCCUUUUUUUGUGUAUUUUUUGUGUAACAUAUCUGACAUACAUAAGUACGUUAGACUGAAAGAUGCAGAAUUCUGACAGUCAGAAAAUGCUGUUUUAUGCUGAAGCACAGAUAAGACAUUUUUGAAAAUCAUGGACUUCUUCACAGUUUUCUGAAACUAUUUUACAGUGUGUAGGUGUGCCCCCCAUGUGACUGUUUCGGUCCCAAAAGUUGGCUCACUGGUAACACACCUCCAGGCUGUGUAAGUGCUCUUUGACCAACAAGGAGAUUGAUGGAGUGCUGCGCCAGUCACCUGACCUAAACCCAACAGAGAUGGUUUGGGUUGAGAUGGACAGCAGAGUGAAGGCAAAAGGUGCUCAGCAUCUAUGGAAACACCUUCAAGACUGUUGGAAAACCAUUUCAGGUGACUACCUCAUGAAGCUCAUCGAGAGAAUGCCAAGAGUGUGCAAAACAGUGAUCAAAGGAAGGGGUGGCUGUUUGGAAGAAUCUAAAAUAUAAAACACUUUUUUGUUUACUACAUAAUUCUAUAUGUGUUCAUUCAUAGUUUGAUGCCUUAAGUGAGAAUCUACAAUGUAAAUAGCCAUGAAA